AACGCCCUGCGCUGUGCGUGAUUGGUGAUGCAGGUUUGAACCAAUAUUCGUAACCCGGGGCCUGUCGCGAUGGACCUGUGUGUAGGAUGGGGCCUUGGCCUUGUCCCCUGAUGGUCCGGCAAAGGCGCCCACUUUAUGUGACCGGGUUCAACACGCUACGCCACACGGCAGCGCGGGGUACUA
rnacentral:other from 2 species